GCAGAGGAGCAGAGACAGAAUGUGCAUGAGACUGAACUUGGCAGGAUCUUUCUAGAAGCUGUGCUGAGAGCGGGGAGGACAGGAAGAGGCAUCUGGGGAGAAUCUGGAGCCCUGACUCCUCCAGGUGAGACGCUGCUGAGGGAAAUGAAGUUGAUCCUCGGGCUCCUGCUGACCAUGGCAUGGCCCAUGCUCCAUGCAGACACCACUCUGACUGGCAAACAAAUAUUUCUGAUGUGUCAUGUGUGUGAGCAGAUCAAUAGUUUUGCCUGCAGGAAUCCAGAGAGGUGCAAUGCAGGAGAUGCGUUCUGCAUCACCGUGGGUACCAGGCUGAGCAAUCGCUAC